ACCUGGCUGGCUCAGUCGGUAGAGCAUGUGACUUUUGAUUUCAGGGUUGUGAGUGCAAGCCCCGUGUUGGGUA
rnacentral:tRNA from 1 species